GUAACUGCAAUAAGUAUUAAUACAAGUGCGAUAAAUAGUUGUCGCUGCGUAUGGCGAACACAAAGGGAGAAAAGCGACGUUGUUAUUCAAUCGAGGCUAAUCGUUCGAAAAUGGGUGCUUAUAAAACACUCAGUUGCGGUCAGCACAUUUACAUUGUUCUCACAAAUUAAUUGAAGUGAAUAAUAUUACUAUAUUGUACUUCAUCAGAUAUACUCACUUGAACUCAUCACUGUCCGGUAGAAUUUCGCCAUUCCGCAGCCACACGUAGCUGUAGGGCUCGUCGCAUUGGAUUGCGCAGCACAGAUCGAUCACCUCGCCCUCCAGCGAUUUAGUAAUCUCAGGCAGUGGUUCCGUGAUGACGGCGCGACGCCUCAGAAUCUCCGUAUUUGGUUCGUGGAAGGUGACUGCGGUGGAACUGAUCAGGGGAUCGUGGUCGCCGCUAAAGAUGCAGGUAUACAGGCCCUCGUCCUCUCGCGUCACAUUGUCCACGAUCAGCAGGGCCAUCGAUUCCUCUUCCUGCAGCAGAAUGUGCACUCGCUCCGACUCCUCCAGCUCCACGUUGUUGUGGUAGAACCUCACCGAGGGCACCGAGGAGCCCCGAUAGCCACUUGCCAGAGCCAUGCGUCCGCCAAUUGCUGUGGGAAUUAAGUCAGAUAGUAAUUCAGUUGAAAGCAAGUAAGCAUUUCUAUGAUCAUUAAGUCUGAGUUACUUCACAGAUUUGUAAAGCCAAGAGUGGGAAAUUGUUAGAAAGGAAUUCACUUAAAACUACAGAAUAAGCUUUUAAAUAAUCUCCAUUUAUCUCUUUAGUCUUAUAAAUGAAUCAAUCUUGUUUGAAGUAUUAUCUAAAAUAAAUUAAUGUAAAUAAAUUUGUGAUGAAGACAUUCCUUCUGUAUACAUUUUAACACGUAGAUCAAUAUUUUUUAAUAAUUCGAACCAAAGAACCUAAUACAAAUGGUUUUCAAACCCGUUUUAAAGAGCUAAGAUCGAUUCGGUUGCAAGAAAAUUUUCACCUCCAAAAACACAAUCAUCCAUAUUUUAAAAUCGGUUCAUAAAAAAAAAAUAACUUAAGAACUCUUUCAUCUUCACUUAAAAACGUAUCUUUUCAAAUAAAUAAGAAGACGAAAUCUCAAAAUGAGAUAAU